rnacentral:rRNA from 1 species
GACGAACGCUGACGGUGUGCUUUAGACAUGCAAGUCGAACGAGAAAGCCCUUCGGGUUAGUAAAGUGGCGAACGGGUGAGUAACACGUGGGCAAUCUGCCCCUCGCAGGGGGACAACCGGAGGAAACUCCGGCUAAUACCCCGUAAGUUCAAAGGGAGGCAUCUCUCUUCGAAGAAAGGUAGCUUCGGCCAUCCGGCGAGGGAUGAGCCCGCGGUGCAUUAGCUAGUUGGUGGGGUAACGGCCUACCAAGGCGACGAUGCAUAGCUGGUCUGAGAGGAUGAUCAGCCACACUGGGACUGAGACACGGCCCAGACUCCUACGGGAGGCAGCAGUCGGGAAUCUUGCGCAA